rnacentral:rRNA from 1 species
AACCGGAAGAUGCAUGCCACCACCUCAACAAAACAAAGAUGCAUAUCUCCCUCGCUGCCGCCGGCAACCCGGAGCCCUAGGGUUUGCUGGGAAUCGAUGCAAGGAGAUUUUGUUCGGCUGGUCGCGUCGCGCUUGCUUGGCGGCGAUUUACUGGAUUACGUCCGUUUCCGCGCUGUUUGCGUGCAAUGGCGAUCAGAGACUCUCUGCCCGCGUGGCCGUGGCGUCGUCGAUCCACGUUUCCACCCGCGUCGCUGGACGAUGUUCCCCGAGGGCCGUGGCCUUUAUCCUGGGCACCCCGAGCUGGGUGACUACGUCCGGUUCUUCAACCUAGACUCGGGUGUCUUUGUCCGUGUCCGCCUCCCACUGUUUGCCAACCAUUGUAUUCUUGAUUCGGUCUACGGCCUACUCCUCCUCCAGAGGGACGACGACACAGCCGUCCGUCUCCUCCACCCUUUCACCGGUGACAUCGUUGAGCUUCCACGGCUCACCACCCUGGUCUCGCAGAAGCCCGAGGGAGGAGCUUGGCCGCUCGAGAUCAAGACGAUGAGAUACAUCUCUACUAGUGCUUCCUUUGUUGCAGGAUCUGUCACUGUUUUGAUUACCUUCAAUUUGUAUUUUUAUGGGGCUGUUGCUACCUCUCUAGAUACACAAUGGACGAUGCUAAGUUGGACAUGCCCAGGGUCAUAUAUCAAUGGACCUCUGCCAUUACAUGGAAAGAUAUACGAUGUUCCCGCCUUCUUUGCUGAUAGGAAUGGUGCACCACGGAUUUUUGAGAUGGACGUAUGCCACUAUCAAGACCCACCAAAGUUGAUCUUCACAGGCCCGAUAGAGAAACCCCUAGAGGCUUGCCACCUGGUAGAGUAUGGUUUGGAGAUCUUAGUGGUUGCACACGACGAUGUUCAGCUAUCCCAUAUAACGGUUUAUAGGCUUGCUGACCUUAUCUUGGGAAAAUUCAUUCCGGUAACAAACCUUGGAGAAAACACUAUCUUCAUGGGACCAAGGAGUAUCUGUGUUUCUUCCAGGGCAUUUCCCAUGGUCAAGGCCAAUACUAUCGUGUACUUCCGUCCACAAAAGCACCGUUUUGCGCAAUACGACAUCAGUGCUCGCACCUGGUCACUAGCUAUGGAUCAGUGCAGCAUAAAUGGCCUAGCACAAGGCCCUCGUAGCAUUAUAUGUCAUAUCUUGACAUGCUGCUCUCACCAGCAUUGG